UACGGAGGGGACUAGCGUUGUUCGGAAUUACUGGGCGUAAAGCGCACGUAGGCGGAUUUGUAAGUCAGGGGUGAAAUCCCGGGGCUCAACCUCGGAACUGCCUUUGAUACUGCAAAUCUCGAGUCCGGAAGAGGUGAGUGGAAUUCCUAGUGUAGAGGUGAAAAUUCGUAGAUAUUAGGAAGAACACCAGUGGCGAAGGCGGCUCACUGGUCCGGUACUGACGCUGAGGUGCGAAAGCGUGGGGAGCAAACAGGG
rnacentral:rRNA from 1 species